GACGAACGCUGGCGGCGUGCUUAACGCAUGCAAGUCGAACGGAAAGGCCCUGCUUUUGUGGGGUGCUCGAGUGGCGAACGGGUGAGUAACACGUGAGUAACCUGCCCUUGACUUUGGGAUAACUUCAGGAGACUGGGGCUAAUACCGGAUAGGAGCUCCUGCUGCAUGGUGGGGGUUGGAAAGUUUCGGCGGUUGGGGAUGGACUCGCGGCUUAUCAGCUUGUUGGUGGGGUAGUGGCUUACCAAGGCUUUGACGGGUAGCCGGCCUGAGAGGGUGACCGGGCAAAUUGGGAAUGAGAUACGGCCCAGACUCCUACGGGAGGCAGGAGGGGGGAAUAUUGGAAAAUGGGCGGAAGCCUGAUGCAGCAAAGCCGCGUGGGGGAUGAAGGGCCUCGGGGUGGAAACCGGUUUUGGCUGGGAAGAAGCGGGAGUGAAGGGAAUGGGGAAAGAAGCAACGGCUAACUAAGGU
rnacentral:rRNA from 1 species